GGUUAAGCGACUAAGCGUACACGGUGGAUGCCCUGGCAGUCAGAGGCGAUGAAGGACGUGCUAAUCUGCGAAAAGCGUCGGUAAGGUGAUAUGAACCGUUAUAACCGGCGAUGUCCGAAUGGGGAAACCCAGUGUGUUUCGACACACUAUCAUUAACUGAAUCCAUAGGUUAAUGAGGCGAACCGGGGGAACUGAAACAUCUAAGUACCCCGAGGAAAAGAAAUCAACCGAGAUUCCCCCAGUAGCGGCGAGCGAACGGGGAGGAGCCCAGAGCCUGAAUCAGUGUGUGUGUUAGUGGAAGCGUCUGGAAAGGCGCGCGAUACAGGGUGACAGCCCCGUACACAAAAAUGCACAUGCUGUGAGCUCGAUGAGUAGGGCGGGACACGUGGUAUCCUGUCUGAAUAUGGGGGGACCAUCCUCCAAGGCUAAAUACUCCUGACUGACCGAUAGUGAACCAGUACCGUGAGGGAAAGGCGAAAAGAACCCCGGCGAGGGGAGUGAAAAAGAACCUGAAACCGUGUACGUACAAGCAGUGGGAGCCCUGAUUUAUCAGGGUGACUGCGUACCUUUUGUAUAAUGGGUCAGCGACUUAUAUUCUGUAGCAAGGUUAACCGAAUAGGGGAGCCGGAGGGAAACCGAGUCUUAACUGGGCGUUAAGUUGCAGGGUAUAGACCCGAAACCCGGUGAUCUAGCCAUGGGCAGGUUGAAGGUUGGGUAACACUAACUGGAGGACCGAACCGACUAAUGUUGAAAAAUUAGCGGAUGACUUGUGGCUGGGGGUGAAAGGCCAAUCAAACCGGGAGAUAGCUGGUUCUCCCCGAAAGCUAUUUAGGUAGCGCCUCGUGAAUUCAUCUCCGGGGGUAGAGCACUGUUUCGGCAAGGGGGUCAUCCCGACUUACCAACCCGAUGCAAACUGCGAAUACCGGAGAAUGUUAUCACGGGAGACACACGGCGGGUGCUAACGUCCGUCGUGAAGAGGGAAACAACCCAGACCGCCAGCUAAGGUCCCAAAGUCAUGGUUAAGUGGGAAACGAUGUGGGAAGGCCCAGACAGCCAGGAUGUUGGCUUAGAAGCAGCCAUCAUUUAAAGAAAGCGUAAUAGCUCACUGGUCGAGUCGGCCUGCGCGGAAGAUGUAACGGGGCUAAACCAUGCACCGAAGCUGCGGCAGCGACACUGUGUGUUGUUGGGUAGGGGAGCGUUCUGUAAGCCUGUGAAGGUGUGCUGUGAGGCAUGCUGGAGGUAUCAGAAGUGCGAAUGCUGACAUAAGUAACGAUAAAGCGGGUGAAAAGCCCGCUCGCCGGAAGACCAAGGGUUCCUGUCCAACGUUAAUCGGGGCAGGGUGAGUCGACCCCUAAGGCGAGGCCGAAAGGCGUAGUCGAUGGGAAACAGGUUAAUAUUCCUGUACUUGGUGUUACUGCGAAGGGGGGACGGAGAAGGCUAUGUUGGCCGGGCGACGGUUGUCCCGGUUUAAGCGUGUAGGCUGGUUUUCCAGGCAAAUCCGGAGAAUCAAGGCUGAGGCGUGAUGACGAGGCACUACGGUGCUGAAGCAACAAAUGCCCUGCUUCCAGGAAAAGCCUCUAAGCAUCAGGUAACAUCAAAUCGUACCCCAAACCGACACAGGUGGUCAGGUAGAGAAUACCAAGGCGCUUGAGAGAACUCGGGUGAAGGAACUAGGCAAAAUGGUGCCGUAACUUCGGGAGAAGGCACGCUGAUAUGUAGGUGAAGCGACUUGCUCGUGGAGCUGAAAUCAGUCGAAGAUACCAGCUGGCUGCAACUGUUUAUUAAAAACACAGCACUGUGCAAACACGAAAGUGGACGUAUACGGUGUGACGCCUGCCCGGUGCCGGAAGGUUAAUUGAUGGGGUCAGCGCAAGCGAAGCUCUUGAUCGAAGCCCCGGUAAACGGCGGCCGUAACUAUAACGGUCCUAAGGUAGCGAAAUUCCUUGUCGGGUAAGUUCCGACCUGCACGAAUGGCGUAAUGAUGGCCAGGCUGUCUCCACCCGAGACUCAGUGAAAUUGAACUCGCUGUGAAGAUGCAGUGUACCCGCGGCAAGACGGAAAGACCCCGUGAACCUUUACUAUAGCUUGACACUGAACACUGGUCCUUGAUGUGUAGGAUAGGUGGGAGGCUUUGAAGUGUGGACGCCAGUCUGCAUGGAGCCGUCCUUGAAAUACCACCCUUUAAUGGCUGGUGUUCUAACGUGGGCCCGUAAUCCGGGUUGCGGACAGUGUCUGGUGGGUAGUUUGACUGGGGCGGUCUCCUCCUAAAGAGUAACGGAGGAGCACGAAGGUUGGCUAAUCCUGGUCGGACAUCAGGAGGUUAGUGCAAUGGCAUAAGCCAGCUUGACUGCGAGCGUGACGGCGCGAGCAGGUGCGAAAGCAGGUCAUAGUGAUCCGGUGGUUCUGAAUGGAAGGGCCAUCGCUCAACGGAUAAAAGGUACUCCGGGGAUAACAGGCUGAUACCGCCCAAGAGUUCAUAUCGACGGCGGUGUUUGGCACCUCGAUGUCGGCUCAUCACAUCCUGGGGCUGAAGUAGGUCCCAAGGGUAUGGCUGUUCGCCAUUUAAAGUGGUACGCGAGCUGGGUUUAGAACGUCGUGAGACAGUUCGGUCCCUAUCUGCCGUGGGCGCUGGAGAACUGAGGGGGGCUGCUCCUAGUACGAGAGGACCGGAGUGGACGCAUCACUGGUGUUCGGGUUGUCAUGCCAAUGGCACUGCCCGGUAGCUAAAUGCGGAAGAGAUAAGUGCUGAAAGCAUCUAAGCACGAAACUUGCCCCGAGAUGAGUUCUCCCUGAGACUUAGAGUCUCCUGAAGGAACGUUGAAGACGACGACGUUGAUAGGCCGGGUGUGUAAGCGCAGCGAUGCGUUGAGCUAACCGGUACUAAUGAACCGUGAGG
rnacentral:rRNA from 1 species